UACGUAGGGUCCGAGCGUUGUCCGGGAUUACUGGGCGUAAAGAGCUCGUAGGUGGUUUGUCACGUUGUUCGUGAAAACCCACAGCUCAACUGUGGGCGUGCGAGCGAUACGGGCAGACUAGAGUACUGCAGGGGAGACUGGAAUUCCUGGUGUAGCGGUGGAAUGCGCAGAUAUCAGGAGGAACACCAGUGGCGAAGGCGACUACCUGGCCCGACUCUUGACGCUGGAGGCGCGAAAGCUAGGGGAGCAAACGGG
rnacentral:rRNA from 1 species